CUGUCGAGUACAGCACUUUAUUGUAACAUGCUAGUUAGCCAAUCUCAGAUGAGAGCAUAGGAGCAUGCACGUGGCUUCUCAUGUGGUCCGCUAUCCUUCUCUCUCCCUUGAAGGUGUUCAUGCAGAAGUCCAGUAAAGUGAAGUCGCUGUACUGUUUUGUUUUUAUUUUAAACAGUCGCCUAGAGGCCCCGCUGAGGAGAGUUCUGGGAGAAUAAAUCCAUCCAGCUGGCAAAGUGAGAGCUGACUCCUCU